rnacentral:lncRNA from 1 species
CCUCCUUUACCCUUCCCCCUCCUCACAUUCCAACCUCCGCCCCCGCCCACAGCCGUGGGGCCAGCUGCUGUUUUGGGUGUCCAGGGGACAGAAAAGGAGAUGGGUUCUGCCCUGGGUCAGAGGUCCUCCCUCCUCGGAAUGUUUGAAGACCCAACCGGAGAGGGUGCCCCUAACCCUGCUGGAAUGUGGGCGGGACCGGACCCCAUCGAAGAAGGAGGUCACCCCUCACCCCUGCAGGCAGCCGCAGACAGCUGUCAUGCCCCACAAGACAUAAGCGGAACACCACCAACCCGGAGGCCUCCACGAAGCUGCAGCAGCCAGGAGCAUUUACUGAGGACUUCGCGCCAGCCUCCCAGUGCAUAACACCCAUCUCAUGAACCUGACCCUGACCCCACACUUUGGUUCUUGAACAUACCGAACCCUGCUAGUCCCAGGGAUAUAAGACUGUCUUAGCGGCUUCCCAAGGGAGCGUGAGGUCGGAGAUUUUGAGUUCAAGGCCAGCCUGGGCAACUUAGUGAGAACCACCCACACACACACUUGAAAAGGUUCAAGGACCAGCUGCUUGCACUGGGACCUUUCGGCACCCUCAGGUUGACAGAUGCUUC